GGUGUCAAGGCGAAAGGUCGUGUGUUUGGGUUGGACAGGAGUGUGUUUGUUUGUGUUUUUUUUCUCGUGUGUUCUUGUUUCAAAGUAAGUUUUUUUUAUUCUACUACAUGCCUGUUCUGUACUCCCUUAUUUUUAUACAUGUAGUAGCUUGUGCUUGAUAAAUAAACGUAAAGUAAAGAAUUUUAGCGUCUCAAUCAGUUCCCUUUAUGCCGGCCCGGUUUUCCCUCGUGUCCUUCCACGCCUUCCUGCUGCAGAAGGCUCCUCUACAGCUCCUGUAGGAGGGUGAGUGCCCCACGAACCCACUACAACCACGCAUAUUUAAAAAAAAAUCCAACUGACCUCCACUUCCAGCCUUUAAAGACGUCCCUAAUCCCGACGUCUGGAUGAGUUAUAGCGCAAGAUGGCGCUAACGUCAGACCGCCGUCCUUCUGGCCCUUGUGGCUGUCGCUUUCGCUGCUCCCUCACAGCCCGCAUAUGGCUGUGUCCCUGAGCCCACAUAUGAGGAACCUGCCAAGUACGACUUUAACUACGUAGUUAAAGACGACUAUUCUGGAAACGACUUCGGUCACCAGGAGACCCGUGAUGGCUAUGACACCCAAGGUUCCUACUACGUUCUCCUUCCCGACGGUCGUCUGCAGAAGGUCACCUAUACUGUCAAGGGGGAUUCUGGCUUCGUGGCCGAGGUCAGCUACGAGGGUGAGGCUCAGUACCCCGAGUACAAGCCUGCUCCUGUUUACAAACCAAUCCCUGCCUAAGCUUGAUAUGUAUUUUAGAGUGAUAAUUUAUUUUUAUGAAGUUGAUAUAAAACUUUCAAAUCUAUUUCAUGACUUUCACACUAAACGAUCUUUGUCUCAGUCCACACGGAGGCAACUUUUUUCGCACAUCUACUCAUCGAUCGUUUUGGCUCUAAUUAUUUGUUGUGAAUGGUGAUUAAAGAAAUAUCCCAGCUUUUCAA
rnacentral:lncRNA from 1 species